GUGAGCAAAUCAUCAGGUGCGU
rnacentral:miRNA from 1 species